CGAAAACGGCUGAAAAGCUGACUUAACUCUUCGUAAUAAAUGACGCACAACUUACGUUUACGAAUAACAAUGGUCGAUUGAUAAUUCAACAGGUUUGUUCUUUAGAGUCAUUACUAUAUUUAGUUGAAAACCAUGUUAAAACUGCGUAUUUUGAUCUUCUUUCAUAGUCUACAAAUAUUUUGAGAUGGAGUAGAAUCUGCGAGAUUGCUCCCAAAUCAUGUAUUUAGAUAGACAGUUUACUCUAGGAAAACGAAGUUUUUUUCAAGAAGUAUACGAAGUUGGAACGCUAACUCUUUUCGGCUAUAUCUUUACGCCUAAGAACAGGUUUUUCUCCAGGGGAUAAAUUUCAUUUGUAACAAGUACGUUAAUCAUUUUUGUUAUAGAUUGUGAAACAAUGUGGACAUGUCCUCUACUAUCAUUAUAAAAUAGGAAAAUUUUCAGAUUUCUCCCGGCAAAUUCAUCCUCAAGGAAUUAACGUUUUGUAUAGGGGAUGGAUUGACUGGGCAAUGUUUUUUUUUUUUUUUUUAAACUUCUGUGCCGUUUAAAAGUCUUAAGCAAAAAGAAACCAAUCGAAUAUUCUUAGGAUUCAAGAAAUAUUCACGGAAUAAAAUGAUACAACGGACAUAUACUGUAUGGCGAGCUAUAUCCUAUCUUGAUUUAUUUGCUUGAUGUUCCUGCAUUUAUAUUGUUACGGAUCUGUAAUGUUGCUUCCAUCGUAAGAACGACCGUUUUACGAUCAGCUCUAUUGGAUACCGGAUCAGUGACUCCCGGGUUUGAGGAUAAGGAAUGAUAAAAAAGGGUUGAUAUUGGAAUCUUCGAGAAUCUUGGCGAUAGAGCCAAUAGGAGUUGAGAUUGCUUGAUUGUUCGAGUACCUUCUCGGCCGUGCUCCGGAAACUAUAAAAGGCCGACAGUCCAAGUCGAAGAUAGUCGUGUAUUUGGUAUAGAGAGUCAACGGCGCAUUAGUUGGAUCAGUCCAACGAAGUGCAAGCGUUAAGUGGAGCUCGACUGAUUGGUGAAUUGAGCUAUUAGCCGAAUCGGAGUUUAUUAUGGAAGUAGCAUCGACUCGUGUGUGGAGUAGCCAGCCAUAUAGUAGUGAGUCGGCUGUUGAAUACAACUAAAGCAAAGAGACAGUGGAGAAUUGCAGGCGUUUGAAGAGACCGUAGAGAGUAGCUACGUAGAUUUCCUCCUCCUACUGAGUUUUCUGUCUAGCCGCUUUGUGUGCUGUGGUUAUUGUUUACUACUGCUUACUACUUGUGUAUUGCGUGUGUACGUCUCGGCUGUGUAUUUGUUGACUAUGUAUCCGUGUUAAUAAACGUUGAUAUUUGCUA